rnacentral:rRNA from 1 species
AGUCGAACGAUGAUCUUGGGGUUUCGGCUCUGGGGGAUUANAUGGCGAACGGGUGAGUAACACGCUGCAGCUAACCUGCCCCAAACUUUGGGAUAACUACCUGAAAGGGUGGCUAAUACUGGGUAUGACCUUCCUUCGCAUGUUGGGGGGUGGAAAGCUUUUUAGCGGUUUGGGAUGGGCUCGCGGCCUAUCAGCUUGUUGGUGGGGUGAUGGCCUACCAAGGCGGUGACGGGUAGCCGGCCUGAGAGGGCGACCGGCCACACUGGGACUGAGAUACGGCCCAGACUCCUACGGGAGGCAGCAGUGGGGGAUAUUGCACAAUGGGCGCAAGCCUGAUGCAGCGACGCCGCGUGGGGGAUGGAGGCCUUCGGGUUGUGAACCCCUUUCGCUUGGGAAGAAGCUUGUUCUUUUUGGGGCAGGUGACGGUACUGGGUGAAGAAGCGCCGGCUAACUACGUGCCAGCAGCCGCGGUAAUACGUAGGGCGCGAGCGUUGUCCGGAAUUAUUGGGCGUAAAGGGCUCGUAGGCGGCUGGUCGCGUCUGCCGUGAAAUCCUCUGGCUCAACUAGGGGCGUGCGGUGGGUACGGGCUGGCUAGAGUGCGGUAGGGGAGAUUGGAACUCCUGGUGUAGCGGUGGAAUGCGCAGAUAUCAGGAAGAACACCGAUGGCGAAGGCAGGUCUCUGGGCCGUUACUGACGCUGAUGAGCGAGAGCGUGGGGAGCGAACAGGAUUAGAUACCCUGGUAGUCCACGCUGUAAACGUUGGGCACUAGGUGUGGGGUUUGGUUUGCCUCUUCGGGGGUGGGCUGGUUCUGCGCCGUAGCUAACGCAUUAAGUGCCCCGCCUGGGGAGUACGGCCGCAAGGCUAAAACUCAAAGGAAUUGACGGGGCCCCGCACAAGCGGCGGAGCAUGCGGAAUUAAUUCGAUGCAACGCGAAGAACCUUACCAAGGCUUGAAAUACGAGGAAAUCCGGGAGAGAUUCCGGGUCGGUUUUGUCCGGUCUCGUACAGGUGGUGCAUGGUUGUCGUCAGCUCGUGUCGUGAGAUGUUGGGUUAAGUCCCGCAACGAGCGCAACCCUUGUCCUAUGUUGCCAGCGGUUCGGCCGGGGACUCAUGGGAGACUGCCGGGGCUAACUCGGAGGAAGGUGGGGAUGACAUCAAAUCAUCAUGCCCCUUAUGUCUUGGGCUUCACGCAUGCUACAAUGGCCGGUACAGUGGGUUGCGAUACUGUGAAGUGGAGCGAAUCCCUAAAAGCCGGUCUCAGUUCGGAUUGGGGUCUGCAACUCGACCCCAUGAAGUCGGAGUCGCUAGUAAUCGCGGAUCAGCAACGCCGCGGUGAAUGCGUUCCCGGGGCUUGUACACACCGCCCGUCACGUCAUGAAAGUCGGUAACACCCGAAGCCCGUGGCCUAACCUUUGGGGGAGCG